CACCGCCUGUUCAUCUCUCCCGGAGCUCGUCGCCGGCGGUCUGGCCAGGAGCUCGUCGCUGCCAUCCACCGGACGCGCCGACCUGCUUGUGUUCUGCUUGUGUGAGAAAUUCAGCUGAAGCCAGUUUCUAAAGAAGUUCAAGCCGAAAAGAACAUGGCCCUUGAACCGUGGGUGGAGAAGGGGCCAACAACGGCAAGAAGCUAGCAGGGGUCCGUGAAACCGCCACUAACCCCAACUGACGGGCACAGAGUUGUGAACUUUUUAUACGGUAAAUUGCAUAUGGUAGCAGGAUAUAGGUGCGUGGCAGUUGUGCAUAUACUAUAGGGCAGGAGGUUGGGUAGGAGGGACCGGGAUCCAGUCCCCUGCCCCACUUAGAGCAAGAUUAAUAAAAGAGCUUGUUGUUUGGCUAUAACCUCUUGUCAUGUCAUCUAUAGUUAGUGCAAUAGUCAAUAUGUAUAAUAGUUGGUUAUAAAUAUGAACUACUUUAUUAGCACUUGGCCCA